GGACUACCAGGGUUUCUAAUCCUGUUUGCUCCCCUAGCUUUCGUCCCUCAGCGUCAGUUGUGAUCCAGCGAGCCGCUUUCGCCUCGGAUGUUCCUGCGGAUAUCUACGCAUUUCACCGCUACACCCGCAAUUCCACUCGCCUAUCUCACACUCUAGCACGGCAGUUUCGAAAGCAGCCUCUGAGUUAAGCCCAGAGAUUUCACUCCCGACUUACCACACCGCCUACGGACCCUUUACGCCCAGUAAUUCCGAGCAACGCUGGCCCCCUACGUAUUACCGCGGCUGCUGGCAC
rnacentral:rRNA from 1 species